AUCUCUGCGUGACUUCCGCCAGCGUUUAGAGCGUUUUCGGGGUCCGAGUUGAAGAGCAAAACCAAGUGAAGGAAACUUCACUAAGUUCAGGGUGACAAGGGAGGAAGUACAGAGACUGCACUUUAAAUUCUGGAUGACAGACCUAUCAGGACUGAGUGGACCUUUGAGUGACAAGAUGGGGGUGUUCCAAAGAGACCAUGGCAGCCUGCAGCUAGGACUUUAAUUGAACUAUUGGCAUGGCUCAAUCCAUUGACCUGUUUUGGUUCCUGAUGAAGUUUUGUUAAUUUAAAUGAGAAAAAUAAGGACAGUGAAAAACAGAGCGCUUAAAAAGCACUGUCUGGAUAUCUUCAGAGGGAAAAAGGAGAAAGUUAACUGAAUUGGUGACACUUCGGGUCUCUCACAGAGGAAGAGACCACCAAACCAACAGAAGCCACCAGGACAGCACACAGCCAUUCCAAAAUUCCAGACCAGGAUCAUUCCAGAAAAGCCUUACAUCUCAGUCCAGUAUAUGGAUGGUUUUAUUAGAUGAAGGUGACCUUCCCCUUCGCCAAGCAGAAUCUCCCAUGAGACUCAUGAAUCCUCUUGAGGCCAAUUACAGCUAUCACUUGUUAACUGUUGGAGUACUUUCAGUCUUAAAAGAGCUGCUAGAAAAUUAAGGCUGCAACAUGAAAGAAGAACAAAAUGGUCAGGCAUAUCACACGUUUUUAUCAAAUGAUUUGGUUUAGGACUUGAUAACCUGGUUAGUACUUGAGCACUGAAAGAUAUUUUGAAUUUAAAGUAAGAUGGAGAAAGUGAUGGAAGCUAAAUCACAGAGGAUAGAAAUACGAUCAAUCGUAUUCAGAACAGAAACAUCUUGGGCUCAAUGUCUGGGAACAAUGAGAAGAUUAGGCUGCUUUAGAACUUAGCUCUCAUUUGUUUUGGUAACCUCCACCUGCAAGAGGACACUCUUCCGUCCCAGUGAGACUGAGGUGAGAAUCACAAGACCACUGCCCUCUAUCUCAUCUUUUCUCCAAGCCUUAGACCAUCAUGGGAUUCACUAACAUCAUUCACACUUCAGGAGUGAUAUAUCAGAGUGAGCCCCUCUUUUCUGCUCAUCUUUCUGCCUCUCUAGAAAAGAGAUAAUUUCACUGUUUACCUCGGGAAACAUGAAAGUUAAUGAUAAAUGUAAAUGAUAGAUGAGGCAAGCAUUGAAAGCUAUAAAGUUGAAAGUAGGACCUAAUACCCUGUAGUAAUGUGUACUCCUUUUUAAAAGAAAACACACAAGUCAUUUAAGAAAGGUUAAUUUCUGCUACCUUUCCAAAAUAUUCUCAGAAUAAUUGGAGAGAAAAAUUGUGACAAAACACUGGGGGCACCAUUGGUGAAAGAAAACUGUAUAUUCUUGUCUUUCAGUCAGGAAAGAAUAAUAUCUACUUGAUCGAAAUGAUUUUUUUCCUCAGAAACUGUGGUACUGGCUACUAGAAAACAGAGAAUUUAAACUAUUAUUUCUCAGAAUGUUUUAUCUCCAUGACCCAAAGAUGGUUUCCCUCCAUGAGAAAAUAUCCCAGUGUUUGUUUUCGAGUUGUCAUCAACACAAAGCAGCAGCACGUUCACAUAUAAUGUGUUUCCAGCUUUUCAAAGCAUUUUCACUUGUUUCUCAAUUGUUUAUUACAAUAAUAACCCUGUGUUGACAUUAUUAUCUUCAUUUCACAAAUGAGGCAGCUCAGAUUCAGACAUUAAGGGACCUUCACAAUAUAUUUAGCUUACGGUGGCAGAACGAAGGCAAAACCAAAAGUCCUUGCCAAAGACUACCUCCAUUUGUCUUCAAUGGACUCCCUGAGUUUUUCAUUGUUGCUCUUUUGUGGUAUGGCUGAAGCCCUCAAAAUUUGGAAAAGACAAGCAAGUACAAGAUAGGCACUUAGAUUGUCAUUCCUCAACUGGCUUCUCUACAGCCUUUUCCUCCCAAUAUAUAAAAUACAGCAAUAAAGAACAGAAGACUAACAUUUUAAACACUGAACUGUUGCUCAAAUUUACUCCUCCUGUAUAAUAGUAUAAUUUGUUCUUAUAAGGUUGUAAAACUGCACUGCAUACUUAAAUUGCAUGUUUCACAUGUCUAUACUAUUCAGCUCCUUUUCUCAUCUCUGCAGUGCCUACCCCCAACAUACUACUGGCUUAACAAUUCCCAUGAAACAGUGUUUGAAUUUAAGAGGCAGGGCUGUGAGAAACACAAAUGGCCAUCCUCUCAUGUAUGUGCUUCUAUCACAGAAAUUUGAUUGUUCUCUAAAGGCAAGCAUGGAUUUUAUUUUAUUUCCAGCAUCUUCAAGGUAAUUAUCUACUUAACCUGCAUAGUAGCAGUUGUUGAGACUCAGUAAACCUCAAAAUGUAGCAUUUUGGUAUGCUAAUUAUUUCAAACUGAGGGCACUUGGGAAACAGCAAAUACAAGAAAGGGCUCUCUCUGAACUCCCUUAAGUGGCUGAAGAUAGAGCCUCCAAAAAGAAACACAAUUGUCAUAGGUAUCCUCCCUGGGAAUCUCAUCAGUGAAGGAAGAUUAACUCACAGGAGACACCACACUCCAGAAAGACUUUGUCACAAACUAUCCAUUACCUCUUCUUCUGAUGAGAUCCUUGGAGACAACUUUUAUUACCUGAGAGAUGUUAUCUGUAUAACAAGACAACCUUUGUUCUCCAUGCAUUCCCUCCUCUUACUCCCCUGCAACUUGUAUAGACACCACCCCCGAUAAACCACCAACCCCUACUCCUUUCUUUAGCUCAGGAUGCUAUAAAAACUUCUAUCAUCUGGCCCCUCUUCAAGUCCUCUACUUUGUGGGACUCCUGUGUGUAAUUAAAAUAGCUUUUCUCCUACUAAA
rnacentral:lncRNA from 1 species